AUCUCUUGAGACCAAGAGUUGGAGGUUGUGUGUGAGAUGUGCCUCCCACAAAUCUUGUUACAACGUUGGCACGUUACCAAUCUGACA
rnacentral:ncRNA from 1 species